UGGGAACUAGUCCCUGCAGCUGCGCACGGGAAGUCAGGGAAGGGUGAACCAUGCCUGACGUGCUCAGGAGACCGACCGAGAAUCCCAUGUGCCCGACGGGAAUGCAUCUUCGGGUCUCGAGCGCGCUAAAAAAUUGGAGCCGGCACCAGCGAAAAAAUCUUGCGCGGGGGAGAGGCGGGCGCAAAGCAGCAGCUGGCCCACGCAUCAGACACAUAGACGAAAAAAGGGCGCGAGGAUGCGCGGGCUCCGUGACUUCUUCCCCCAAAAUCUCUCUAUCUUCCCUCUCGCCUCUUCUGCUUCCCAUUCAUCACCACUCCUCGAUGUGCCGUCGGUCGCUGCAUAUGCUCCUCCCUCCUCACCCACCACAGCUCAGCGCCACCAGCUAGCACCUCCGCCACCAAGCCCUAAGCCACCGCCCGAAAUCCGCUGCCACCCAAGCUCCGGCACCGCCGCCCGAAAUCCCGAAACCCGAGCUCCGGCAUCGCCACCCAAGCAAUGCCGCCGCCCUAGCUACCUCCUUCCAGCGUGUUGCAGAUCUGCAAUCUAGCCCCAUCCCCAAUCUCUAGUCCUCCCACCUGUUCCCAAAUACCAACCAAAAUUUCAGCAAUAUUAAUUUGGGGUAAGAUCUAGAUUGCGUUCAGUUCUUGCUUUUAUUGGGAAAAAUUGUUUUCUCUGAUUUAUUGUGCUCUGCGUACAGAAAUUGGGAGAGGGGAAGCCUUUGGCUGACUGCAAUCUACUUGGUUCCCAACGACGUCCUCAACUUUGACCAAGCUGCCAUCUUCCCCUGCCACCCCUAAAUCCUAGUUAUCACUGGUUUCUCACCGUUGAUCAAGUUGGCUGGUGCUGCUGCUUGGAGAACUGUGAGCUGACCUCAAAGUUUUGGACAGAUAAGGGUGGCUUCUCAUUGCAGCUGGUUAGUUUGUCUACAACUUCUCAUAUUAUUGGCAGAUAAGAUAUGGUAGAUCGAGGGUGGAUGUACAGUGGUUGGAAGCGUGGUAGGCCAUCAAAUGAAUGGGUUGAAAAAACAAAAGAGUUCUUGGAUCGUGCCUUCUCAAUUCCUGAAUUAGUUGAG